AGCACUCGAGGCCGCCCUGGGAGAGCUGAGAGGCAGGCUCUGGACUGGGGACACAGGGAUAGCUGAGCCCCAGCUGGGGGUGGAAGCUGAGCCAGGGACAGUCACGGAGGAACAAGAUCAAGAUGCGCUGUAACUGAGAAGCCCCCAAGGCGGAGGCUGAGAAUCAGAGACAUUUCAGCAGACAUCUACAAAUCUGAAAGACAAAACAUGGUUCAAGCAUCCAGGCACAGGCGGUGUGGCUGACCGGGAUGCUCCAGCUGUGUCUCUUCGCCAUCACGGACCAGGAGAACAACCCAGCACUGCCAGGAACAGAGGCGCUGGUGAUAGGCAUCCUCGUGGUCAUCAUCGGGGUGUCCCUUGGCAUGAACACAGGAUAUGCCAUCAACCCAUCCCGGGACCUGCCCCCCCGCAUCUUCACCUUCGUUGCUGGUUGGGGCAAACAGGUCUUCAGGUGGCAUCAUCUACCUGGUCUUC
rnacentral:sRNA from 1 species